AUUCUAUGAUGAGGGCACUUUCGUAAUAACUCUUUGAAUCUUUCCCAUGCCUCAUACAAGGACUCAUCAUCCAUUUUAGAAGCCUUUGCACAAUUUGCUUCUGAU
rnacentral:snoRNA from 1 species